UGACCUACUUCUUGUUGCUCUACUUUUCAGCUCCAAAAUUUGAUAAUUUCGAAUAAAUUUCAAAGCAUGGGAUAGUGUAGAGAAGGUGAAUUGUCUAAAUUCUUCAUUCAUCUCCUUAAAGAUCAAUUGUCUGAAGCAUGUACCAGGUGAACUAUCUAUUUUAUUUAUUAGAAACGAGUGAGGACGGAAGAUAAAAGAUUCUCUGCGAUAAAUAGCAUGUGAACAAAAGAAAAAAUGUCUCUAUGUAUAAUUUUAUUGUGAAGUGUAGAUAAUUUAAACUUGUGUUAUCUUUGACUUUGUGAUGAAAUUAUUAGUAAAAUAUUUGAAAAUUAAAAUAGUAUUUUAAUAUUUAUGAAACAAAUCUUGAAUAAACCAUUAAAACUAAACAAUAGAAAACAAUAUCUGUUGGCGGGGUUUCGGAACACCACUAUAUUUUAAGUUGAUACUAAAUGUUUUUGUUAAUAAAUUUGCGAAAAUUAUAAUCAUGCUUCCAUAGUUAUUUGUACCCCUAUUUUGAUGUUCUACUCAAAACACUCAUUUUACAUGUUUAAAACCAAAAUAACCGGCAAUCUUCGUGGAUGAUUUACAUAACACAUUUAAAAAAAAUUAUGAUUGUACUUGAAAACUCAAUUUAAGCUCAAAAUGAAAAUGUGUUUAGGACAAAUUUAAAUUGAGUUUUCUAGAACACAUAAUACAUUUGUGUUUCGAAAAACUGAAAUUUGAGUUUACUAGAACAUAUUUGAACAUCGUAGGACAAAAGAAUUUUCUAAUUUAAAAAAAGAAUAAAGUCAAGAGCAAAUAUUUGAUUUUUUAGAGGAUUUAUGGGAUAGGGGUAAACUUUUGUAAAUCUGAUUGCAUAGUUAUUAUGUUUUUUUUUCUUUUCAGUUUAGUCUUGUUUAGGUAGUUAUUUUUAGUCUCAUGAUGUGAUUUCCUCUACGAAAACAGGAAUACUUUACAAUUUUUUGCAUCACAUAAAUUAUAAUUUCAUAGGUUAAUUGUAUCAUUAGUAAUACGGCCUUUGAUACUCCCAACAAUUGUUGUGUUGUUUCCACUAAUGGUUAACAUGAGUCGUGAGGGACCAAAGGCUGACCCAAUAUUCUUGAUGGACCAAAUAAAAAAUAUAUCAUGUUUUUGUGGACUCAAAUCAUAUUUAAGCUACGUUAUUAAGAAUUGUAAUUAAAAGUAGUUAGUGGAGGGUGUGAAACAACAUACGAGAGUGUUAAUGGUCCCACCCAUCUAUAUGUGCAUAUAUGAAUUUGUCUUAUGUGUGCAUAGUCGAAUUGUCAAGUUUGAUACCUCAAUUUCGUUUGUCAAUGGUACGCUUCAGCUGAUGCUCUCGGGUCUCAAUGACAAAUUUCCUCUUCUCUUAUCUAAAAUUUUGUUAGAAAUUAGUUGUUUCAUGCUGAUGAUUGAUGUAGGUGAGUGGCAUGUUUGUGUCAAUUUUUAUGGGAUGUUAAUGUUUUUGUUUUGCCUCACUUCAAUAUAUCUUUGUUUUAAUUCUGUUUUAUUUUGACCGAUCCUUAUUGAACGGCUUAUGAGAAAAUACAUGAACAUAAAUUAUUUGAUGAACCACGCUAGUAUAUAUUUUUAAAUCCUCUUGUGAGCACAAUUAUCAUAUAGAUGAAAAACAACUUUAUGUAAGUGACGAUUUGUUGCAUGAUGAUCUAAAAAAAAUUUAUCAGGACCUUCGCUCCCAAAAUUAAAUAAAAUGUUUAAUAUUUAUUUUGCUUAGCACCUUACUUUGAUUUCCAAGUCUGCAAAUAGUUUCUAAUUUGACAUACUGUCUGUUUCGGUGCAUAUGAAAGGGCACGUCUAUAAUGCUAAUUGCUAACAAUAUGAAGAAAAUUAACAGAUUAAUAUUGUCAUAUUUAUUGUUUUUCAAUCUAUUAAUGUUAGAAUAAGUCACAUGAAAUAAUCAUUAGCUAUACAAAUCCUAGAUUAUUAGAAUUAGCAAUCACAUUAAAUUGUAUUUAUUUUAAAAUCACAGCUGUUUGUGACAUAUGGUAGACUAAAAAAUUAUAAUUUUUUUUUGUUAAAGUAGUCUUAUGUUCUUUUGUUCUUUACUUUUUCACGAGCAAGUUCUCCUUCCCUAGAUGCCCUUUGCAGCAGUACAUCCUGCUUACUUUCCAGCGAGACAAUCGCUAAUCUCCUUCGAAAUGGAAUUAAAACAAGAAUAUAAAAUAGAUACCCGAGCUAGAUAGUAGAUACAUUAGCUCAACCUUAUACACCGAAGUAUCUAGUUAAUUAUUUGUUACCGCAAUUUCUAUACCAUGAAUGAUAUUUGAUAUAUAGUGGAAUGUAAGAGAGUGCGGUGGUUUGAAAUGUAGAAAUAAGUUUUGGGUGAUGCAAGUUAAAUUAGAGAUCAUGUGUAACCUGUUUUGUCUAUUAGCAUUCAAAAUUUGAAGUAGAGAUCCAUCAAAACUUGUCCUUUCAAAAAAGAAAAUGAAAAAAAUUAUUUCGUUUUCAUUUUUACUUACCUCAUCAUGUUCACAUUAUUGGUAUAAAUACAAAACUAUGUGAUCUUUUAUACUCACGAAAAGAUAAAUUCUAUAUUUUUUGAUUUGUAAAUAUAUUUUCCAUGAUGGACAUGAAUAAGUCAAUAGAUCUAUUGUUAUGUAUUUGGAGUUUAUAUUCAUUUGAAUUUUAAGUUUGUACAGUUAUAUAUUGGAUAUGCAUGUCGUGGAUAUAAGACGAUUAAGAAAUCCACUUCCUGUUUGCCUCCUUUUCGAUAUCAACUUAGUUAUGGAUUUGUAAGCUUCGCAAGUUUCAAAUAAAAUUUGUGGGUGAGGUGAUUUUAGUUGGAUUGAUUGUUAUUUUAUUUUUAUCCUACCAAUCAAUGUGUCCAUCAAUCAUUAAUGUGUUGCUUUAGACGAUUUUAUCUUUAAUAAUUUCUAAUAAUUUUUUUUGGAAUAUUUGUUUUAUUUUUCGAUCUAUCCAGUGUAAUUUUCAAAUUGAACAAUACAUUAGAUUGGUAUCAACCAAACUCAUAGUUUUGUGUGAUGUUUUUGGUGCUAUUAUUGAAGAGCUAUUAUUUACUUAAUAAUUGAGGUGACGAUAUGAUCUUAGAUGUGUUUUUUGUUAACAUAUUGUAUUUGUUAUCGAAGAUAGAUUCUCUUUUCAUAUGUUUUUUUCGUGGUAAUUGAGAAUAAAAUAUCUCUUAAAAUAAUAUUAUUUGUUAAUUCUUACAUGAAAACAUAUUAUUUGUUAAUUCUUACAUGUCGUCUUCACUGUGCACAUAUGAGAUGUACAUUUAUUAUCUGAGUGAGUCACACGAGGUUUCCCUAAAAACAAUGUUUCAGAUUCUAUAGCUGCAACUUUUUCUUUUGUUUAUGUUGUUUCUUCUUAUUAGACUUUUAACUAUUGCCUUCCUUCUUUUUUUGUUCAUUUGGCUGAAAUUCUUGAUAUGCAUGUGGAAACAGGACAACAGAUCAUAUUUGCCAUGAGCCAAAAAAGAAGAAAGAAUACGAGGAAAACUUAGAAAGAAUACUUCCAAGCAUCGAUGAACCUAUCAAUUCUAUUCUACUUUGCAGUGUAUUAUAUGAUUGAACGUGGAGUCAAAACCCAAAAACAUGGUUUAGUAUAACUAACAUGAUAGCCAAGAUGAUCUGUUGUCCUAAUUUCAGCCAAAAAAGAAGAAACAACUUAUACUAAAAGAAAAAAGCUACAGCUAAAUGAUUCCAUAAAAAUUGAAACAUUGUUUUUAGUGAAACUAUAUAGUACUCCCUUAGAUAAUAAAUGUACAUGUGCACAGGAAAGACAUGUAAGAAUUACCAAAUAAUCUCAUCUUAAGAGAUAUUUUACGGUCAAUUACCAUGAAAAAACACUAUGGUAACAAAUACAAUAUGUUAAAAAGAAACACAUCUAAGAUCAAUUAAAUAACGACUCUUCAACAAUAGCACUAAAAACAUCAAACAAAGCCAGGGUUGAUAUCAAUCCAUUGUCUUGUUUAAUUUGAAAAUAACACGGCAUAAAUCGAAAAAGAAAACAAAUAUUCCAAAAAAAUUGUUAGAGAUUAUUGAAGAUAAAUUUGUCAAGCAACACAUUGAUUGAUUGGAUAGAAAUAAAAUAACAACCAAUCCAACUAAAAACCCAUAAAUUUUAUUUGAAACUUGCUCUAAGUUUACCCAUCGAUAACUAAAUUGGUAUCGGAGGGAGGCAAAUCACCCGCUCAGCAUGCCUUAACUUAACGGGAAGUGGAUUUCUUGAAAAAAAUCUUCUUAAUGGUCUCGCUAAUGUCAAUUGCUUCUUUGUUUUGUUGUCAAAAUUUCCAUGAUAUAAAUACUAAUUGCACAAACUUAAAAUUCAAAUGAAUGUAAACCUCUAAGUACAUAACAAUAGAUAGAUCUGUUGACUUACCCAUGUUCAUCGUGGAAAUUAUGUUUACAAAUAAAAAAAAAUAAAAAUUAUGUUUUUGUGGAUAAAAAGAUCGUAUAGUUUUGUAUUUAUAACCAACAACUUGGGAUUAGUGUUACUCUUGUCAAGUUGCACUCUUGUUAUACCAAGAAUGUGAACAUGAUGAGAUAAAGAAGAAUCAAAACGAAACGGUCUUUUUUUAUUUUGUUUUCUGAAAGUAUAAAUUUUGAUUGAUCCCUGUCUACAAACACAUUGAAUGCUAGUAGGCAUGUAUGAAUGAGUGAGCUCCAAUUUAACUUGCAUCACCCAAAACUUAGUUCUAUACUUAAAACCACCAUCCUCUUACGUUCCACUAUAUAUCAAAUAUCAUUCAUCUUAUGGAAAUCAUGGUAACAAAUAAUUAAUUAAAUAUUUCGGUGUAUAAAUGUUAUAUAUUCUUGCUUUUAUUCCUUUUGGAAAGAGAUGAUGAUGGUUAGCUAUUGUCUCGCUAGAAAGUGAGCCGCUGGUGAGGUACAGGUGAGGUACAACUAUUGAUGCAAAGGACAGCGAGAGAAGGAGAGAAUGGCGUUGUGGAAAAGAAGAAUAGUGAAUAAGACUAUUUUAAUAAUAAAUUUUUUAUAAUUUUUUAGUCACCAUGAUGUAUUUUUAAGAUAAAUACAUUUUAAUGUGAUUGCCAAUUCUAGUCCUAAUUAGCACCUAAAGGAUUAGCCAAUAAGUGACUAAUUCUAACAUCAACUGAAAAACAAUAAAUAUGGUAAUGUCAUUAAGGUCUGUUUAUUUUCUUCAUGUUGCUAGGAUAAGCAUUAUAGUCAUGGUUCCAUAUGCACCGCCGAGACGGUAUGUGAACUUAGAAACUAUUUCCAAACUUGGAAAUCAAAUAAAAGUGCUAGCAAAAUAAGUAAUAAACAUUUUAUUUAAACCUGCGAGCAAAGGUCCCUAAUAAAUUUCUUUAGAUCGUCAAGCAACAAAUCGUCACUUAGAUAAAGUUGUUUUUCAUCGCUAUGAUAAUUGUGCUCAAAGGAUUUUAAGAUAUAUACGCAUUUCAUCAAAUUUCUUUUCAUGUCUUCUCUCAUAACUAUUUAGAUAAGCAUUGAUCAACAAAAUAGCAAAGAAUUGAAACAAAGAUAUAUUGAAACGGGACAAAACAAAACCAUUACCGUUGGAUAAAAAUUGAAACAAUAUGUCACUCACAUGAUAUCGAUAAUCAAUUGGCAACAAAAUCUUUAGAUACGAGAAGAGGAAGUUUGUCCUAUAAAAGAAAUUAACACAUAUUGACAAAUUCAUAGAUACACAUAUAAAAAGUAUGGGUGAGACAAUUAGCACUCCCAUACAAUAAUUCGUACUCUCCACUAACUACUUUUAAUUACAAUUCUUAAUUAUUUUCAAGUAAUUGGCUUAAAUAUGAUAUGAGUCCACAAAAACAAUUAAUUUUUUUAUUUGGUCUUUCAUGACUCAUGUUAACUAUGAAUGGAAACAACACAACAAAAAUUAGGAUUAUCAAUGGUUCCAUUAUUAAUGAUACGAUUAAACUAUGAAAUUAUUAUUAUUAUGUAUGUUAUGCCAAACAGUACGAAUAUUCAUGUUUUCAUAGAGGAAAUCACAUCAUGAUACUCAAAAUAAAUAGAUGAGUACCUAAAAGUUAAGGAAAUAAUAUAAGAGAAUAAAUAACUACCUAAACAAGACUAAACUGAAAAAAAAAAACAUAAUAGCUAUGCAAUCAGAUUUAGAAAAGUUUACACCUAUCA